rnacentral:rRNA from 2 species
GAAGCAACGCGAAGAACCUUACCAGGUCUUGACAUCCUCUGAAAACCCUAGAGAUAGGGCUUCUCCUUCGGGAGCAGAGUGACAGGUGGUGCAUGGUUGUCGUCAGCUCGUGUCGUGAGAUGUUGGGUUAAGUCCCGCAACGAGCGCAACCCUUGAUCUUAGUUGCCAUCAUUAAGUUGGGCACUCUAAGGUGACUGCCGGUGACAAACCGGAGGAAGGUGGGGAUGACGUCAAAUCAUCAUGCCCCUUAUGACCUGGGCUACACACGUGCUACAAUGGACGGUACAAAGAGCUGCAAGACCGCGAGGUGGAGCUAAUCUCAUAAAACCGUUCUCAGUUCGGAUUGUAGGCUGCAACUCGCCUACAUGAAGCUGGAAUCGCUAGUAA